rnacentral:rRNA from 1 species
GAUCCAGCCAUGCCGCGUGAGUGAUGAAGGCCCUAGGGUUGUAAAGCUCUUUUGUGCGGGAAGAUAAUGACGGUACCGCAAGAAUAAGCCCCGGCUAACUUCGUGCCAGCAGCCGCGGUAAUACGAAGGGGGCUAGCGUUGCUCGGAAUCACUGGGCGUAAAGGGUGCGUAGGCGGGUUUCUAAGUCAGAGGUGAAAGCCUGGAGCUCAACUCCAGAACUGCCUUUGAUACUGGAAGUCUUGAGUUCGGGAGAGGUGAGUGGAACUGCGAGUGUAGAGGUGAAAUUCGUAGAUAUUCGCAAGAACACCAGUGGCGAAGGCGGCUCACUGGCCCGAUACUGACGCUGAGGCACGAAAGCGUGGGGAGCAAACAGGAUUAGAUACCCUGGUAGUCCACGCCGUAAACKAUGAAUGCCAGCCGUUAGUGGGUUUACUCACUAGUGGCGCAGCUAACGCUUUAAGCAUUCCGCCUGGGGAGUACGGUCGCAAGAUUAAAACUC